GGGGAGGGAAAUAAUAGUACCGAAGUUCCUGAUGUCACACUGCCGAGAAAAGCUUCUAGUGAGAAAACAACGACCCGUACCGCAAACCGACACAGGUAGUCGAGGAGAGAAUCCUAAGGUGAGCGAGAGAACUCUCGUUAAGGAACUCGGCAAAAUGACCCCGUAACUUCGGGAGAAGGGGUGCUGAUCUAAGAUCAGCCGCAGUGAAUAGGCCCAAGCGACUGUUUAUCAAAAACACAGGUCUCUGCAAAAUCGUAAGAUGAAGUAUAGGGGCUGACGCCUGCCCGGUGCUGGAAGGUUAAGAGGAGUGCUUAGCGUAUGCGAAGGUACGAAUUGAAGCCCCAGUAAACGGCGGCCGUAACUAUAACGGUCCUAAGGUAGCGAAAUUCCUUGUCGGGUAAGUUCCGACCCGCACGAAAGGCGUAACGAUUUGGGCACUGUCUCAACGAGAGACUCGGUGAAAUUUUAGUACCUGUGAAGAUGCAGGUUACCCGCGACAGGACGGAAAGACCCCAUGGAGCUUUACUGUAGUUUGAUAUUGAGUGUCUGUACCGCAUGUACAGGAUAGGUAGGAGCCGUAGAAAUCGGAACGCUAGUUUCGAUGGAGGCGCUGGUGGGAUACUACCCCUGCGUUAUGGCCACUCUAACCCGCACCACUGAUCGUGGUGGGAGACAGUGUCAGAUGGGCAGUUUGACUGGGGCGGUCGCCUC
rnacentral:rRNA from 1 species